UAAUUUCUUGUGCAGGGUCGACAGUUUCAAUUCACUUCCGUUCUUUCCGUUUCCUUCCUUCCCCUCCACCAUUUCUUGUUUUUCCAUCUUCGCAAUUCACAUCGACUGAUCUCGCUCACCGUCGAGACGCUGAAUCCUCGCUUGUCUCAGCUCCAAAACUCCCUGAUGUGCAUCACAAGAAUGUCGGUUCGCGUAGAUUACUAUCUUAGUUUCAUUCGCUUUUGCUUUAUGGAGUCAGCUGUUCAACUGCGAGUUCCCAUUUUUUCUUUGGUUCGUCGGUUCUCAUCCUAUUUAAGGGGUUUCAGAGAAGCGUGUAGUGCAGAUAAUUUAUGGGUUCAUUUCGAGAUGUCCUUCUAAAGACGUCACAAAGCGUUUAAAAAUAUGGAAUGAUUGCAUUGGAUUAUGCCGUCUCAGGUCUUCGAGUAGCUGCUAAGUUGAAAAAGAUUUGGGAGGGGAAAUCCAGUCUUUUAAUAGCAGAAGUAGGGAGCUCAGAAUCAGGGGAUAUGCAAAACUCGGAUGUUUGAAUGUUCAAGAGUUGAAUCGGAAAGCAAUAAUUGCUUGGGUGUAUGUAUUCAUAGUCAUAUGUUAUGGUAGUAGUACAUGUGGUGCGUCGCACGACACACAAACUCCGUGUGAAACAAAUAAACAUGGUUGUAACUUUCAGAAGCAUUUCAUCGGACUUAAGGGAGUUGCUAAAGAAGCAAUUACCUUUAUUCAUUUGCUUCUGGAAUUAGUGAAUGAAAUGUGUAUUCUAGCAUGCCUUCAUCGGUUGAUCAAACCUGUUCUUGAGCAGCAUAAGUGCGGUCUCAACAAGUGAGUGAAUGGUUGUGCUGUGCCUGCUUAGUCCAAUUGUGCCAGAGAAAAUGUUGUAGCUCUCUAGCUCUGAUGUCGUAUCCAUGACUCCUUCAAGCUCCUCCUCCAUGCCCAGAUCCCUGAAGAUCUGCACAUUUGUUGAUUUCUCUCUCAUCAUCCAAAUUGCCAGCUCGAUAGCAAACCUUCUCAUUCUUGGCACCUUUACAUGUGGGUUCCGGUGGCUUCUCAGGAUCUCGACCAAAGUGCAAGCUAAUUUGGCUUCUCUUAACCCUUCCCGCUUGAACAAGGCGGUCGAUUCUUCUGCUGUCAUGAACUUGAAAGCAUGUACCGCUAACCCAACCAUCACCUCUUGGAGUUUGCCUUCUCCUGACAAGAUUGCCUUGAGAACCUGAGUUGAGGAAAUAUGGUUAGGUUGGAACAAUUAAUAUCAUUUUCUUCAGGACAACUCAAAGUUGUACAUAAUUGCUGUUUCCAGUUAUUGAGAUACCAGCUCAGGUUCAAUUUUUGCAAAAAAUCCACUUACUGUUGGUGCCGCUGCUGUUACUCCCUUUAGCUGGUUGAAGGACUCUGGCCCACUGUAAGUGCACAGGUUCCUCAAAAUCCUUCCAGAAUUGACAUGAAGAAGCGGAAUCUCCAAUGCUUCUAGGAGCCUCUCCACUACAUUGAACUUCAAGAUGCGACGACAGUUGCUCCUGCUUUCAAACACCAGCAUUGCCAGAGCUUCUCCAGCCACAAUCCUCACAUCCCUUUGUUCUUCCUGCACUCCUUGGAAGAAAAUGUUUAACAGUUCUUUCAGAACUCCACCAGUCCCUCCUAUACACUCUGUCGCCUCAUUGUCCUGUGCUAAACUGGUUAGGAUCUCAAUCCCUAGUUUCUGCAGUUCUGGUUGUUUCUCUCCAUGUCGUAGAAUAUCUCUUAUGUUGCUUAUGGUAAAGACUAUCUCGGAGAUCUCUCUACGGAGAUUUUUCCCUGUGGUACCUGUUGUGCUUGCCAGCAUCUUUAUAACCUUUAGGGAUCUUUUAACAAUCAAAACCUGCGAUGUGGUAACGGUUGAGUCCUUCAAUAUUCUCUCGUCAGCAUGAGUGAAAUCUAUCAUUUUGGAAAGAAGGCCCCUUGUGUUUCCAAUUUUUCCGCAGUUAUCAUGAUCAUGGGCUAGUUUCUUCAGAAUGAGUAGCCCCAAAUUAAUGAAAGUCCAGUGUCCAUAAUCCUCCUGAUCAAAGACAAUUUUCCUUUCUCCAAUUUCGUCUGCUGUAGAACUGAGGCUUCUGUUUGUCUGUAGAAGAGAUGAUAUCGAUUCCAUUGCCGCGGGUAUCCCAGCGACCCGGAGGGAGUUUUGCUUUUUCCCAGCUAAUUUGGAGACUAUUUCUGCAGCUGAUAGCCUGAUUUCUUCCUCAUGUGGGUGUUUCCAGUUCAAGAUCUCCACCAGUCUCUCUAUAACUGGCAGAGUUGUUCCCAUCUUCUGAAGAGUGCCAUCUGAAAACCGUUCUUUCGUAGAAAACUGGCGAAGAAUCCUGGCUCCUAUGAGCUGCUCUUGCGGCGAGUUUGAAGAUAAGAGAUCCAUGGCAAAAGUCACCAUAUCCAUUCCCAGGCCAUCAAAAAUGCUCCCAUUAAUACAUCUUGAAUAGGAGUCAUAGAAAAAUCUCCGAGUCGAGUUCAUACCUGAAGCCCCCAGAUUGCAUUCCUCAUUCACCCCUUCAAGAAGCUUACAGAUGACAACCUUCCACUCCCAGUAAAGUUUCUCUGUCAGGAGAACCAGAGCUUCUGCCAAAGCCAAGGCAUAAAAGAUAUACAGAGCAGCCUUCCUGUUCCUCUCGUCAGUGUCUCUUUUAGCAUUGUCACCAAAAUUGUGCUUGAUGAGCUUCAUCAAUGAGAGCACGACGCAGGCUAUUGCAGAUAAGAGCUGAAGCCAAUACAGAAUCUUGCUGACAUUUCUCGAAAGGAAAACUCUCCCUGCAUAAGGUAUAAUAGGAACUUCGGAAGAAGUCCAAAUCCAGAGCUUACAGGGCUUAACAUAUCCUUCACGGAUUCAACUAGAGCUCUAGAGCUUGAUCUGAGUGCUCGGAAGCUGCUAAUUCCUGCGUCAGCUAUUGACCAUGUGGACUGGUGUUGCCAUUCCAGCUCGUGACUCCUGCUG